GAUGUCUGUGCGCUAAUGGGUUUUUGUGUGUAAGUCUGUGUGUGUAGAUUUGUGCGUAUGACAGAGCUGAGAAUAGCAACUGAAGCGUAAGAGAUUUACGGUGCAUUUGAUCAGGAUAUUAGUGAAAAUAAAUAGAAUUGUGCAGCAUGGAUAUCAAUGGGAGGACAGAUCGAUGUAUUUGUGGCUUUCUUGGCGCAGCAGAGCGUUCUGAGUGCAACCAGCAGUUAGUCGAGGCAAAAAAAAAAAAAAAAAAAACGGAACUUUAGAAGCGCAUAAUUUCGCGGGGGAAACAUUUUAGUAACGGACCGGAUAGAUGAUUAUCUCGGCUAGUGGGGGAAAAUGACUAAAAAAAGCCGUGAAACGUAAUGAGAUAAAAGAUGACAGGCGAGUGGCGAGAUGUUGAACCUCGUUUCUGCGGAGGCGCGGCGUCGGACAGCCGGCUUGCCUAUUGCCUCCUUUUCUCUAUUCUUUAUUUAUUUACAGGUCUGUUGAUUGCUGAACGUGGAAGCAGAUGGCUUGGCGGUCAGUGUGGCGUCGAGUAUUGAACCCAGGGCGUGAUGGAUGAGUGUUUGGAGCUGAUAUGGUGGACAUGUUAAAGCACCCAUCGACAUACAAUCGUGAUUGUCCUGGACAUUGAACACCUGUGGGCUGUUUCACCCCACCAGCAGGUCCACCUGGUAUGAAGCAACCAAGUCCUGACAUGACCUCAUCUCCUCAAGGUCAGUACCCCUGCAAGGGGAUAACUCGUCUGAUGACACACCCCUGAGCAUGGCCAGCUGCAUGAGCACUACAGACUCCGAGCUGUCAGUGGAAAAGACUGCAUGAACUUUUGGUGGACACUGGAGCCACGUAUGGGCCUCUGAGUUGUGGACUAAGACUGUCACUGAAUAUGAUACUGAGAGAAGAAACAGUGUCUGCCGUUGUGACCUGAGGGGGA